GAGGGACAACCGCAGUGGCGAGGCCAGCUCUGGAGCCCUGGAUUCAGCCCCCGCAGGAACUCCAGAGCUCUCCGUCUGCAGGCUCUGGGGCGGG
rnacentral:pre_miRNA from 1 species